GAGGGUAUGGCUCAGUGUAGAGUAUGUGCUUAACAUGCAUGAGGUCCUGGGUUCAAUCCUCAAUAUCUCCA
rnacentral:tRNA from 1 species